UACGAAGGGGGCUAGCGUUGCUCGGAAUCACUGGGCGUAAAGGGUGCGUAGGCGGGUCUUUAAGUCAGGGGUGAAAUCCUGGAGCUCAACUCCAGAACUGCCUUUGAUACUGAAGAUCUUGAGUUCGGGAGAGGUGAGUGGAACUGCGAGUGUAGAGGUGAAAUUCGUAGAUAUUCGCAAGAACACCAGUGGCGAAGGCGGCUCACUGGCCCGAUACUGACGCUGAGGCACGAUAGCGUGGGGAGCAAACAGG
rnacentral:rRNA from 1 species